rfam:Myotis davidii contig41899, whole genome shotgun sequence.
GUGCUUGCUUCAGCAGCAGCACAUAUACUAAAAUUGAAAUGAUAUAGAAAAGAUUAGCAUGGAAUAAUACAGAGAAGAUUAGCAAGGAUGACAUGCAAAUACAUGAAGCAUCCAAUAUUUUU